rnacentral:piRNA from 1 species
UGAACAAGGUCAAUGCUUCUCCCUUUAUGG